rnacentral:rRNA from 1 species
UACGGGAGCAGCAGUGGGAAUAUUGGACAAUGGACCAAAAGUCUGAUCCAGCAAUUCUGUGUGUUUGAUGAAGGCCUUCGGGUUGUAAAGAACUUUCAGUGGGGAAGAAGCAAGUGACGGUACCCACAGAAGAAGCGACGGCUAAAUACGUGCCAGCAGCCGCGGUAAUACGUAUGUCGCAAGCGUUAUCCGGAAUUAUUGGGCAUAAAGGGCGUCUAGGCGGUCUAAUAAGUCUGAUGUGAAAAUAGCGGGGCUCAACUCCGUAUUGCGUUGGAAACUGUUAGACUAGAGUUUUGGAGAGGUAGGCGGAACUACAAGUGUAGAGGUGAAAAUUCGUAGAGAUUUGUUAGGAAUGCCGAUGACGAAGGUAGCUUACUGGACAAAUACUGACGCUGAAGCGCGAAAGCUAGGGGAGCAAACAGGAUUAGAUACCCUGGUAG